CUCCGUGCAGGGAGCCCGAUGUGUGACUCCAUCCCAGGUCUCCAGGAUCAUGCCCUGGGUCCAAUGCGGUGCAAAACCACUGAGCCACCGGGCUGCCCCCAAAGUCUUAAUUUUAAUUUAUUACUCACUUGGGCAGAGCUUUCUCACCCAAUGUGGGAUAUUUUGAGGCAAUGGGUGCUAUGACUGUGAAGAUUUACGCAGGACAGUAAUAGUUUGGAUGAUUAAGGUAAAACUUACCUAUUUGUCCUCCACUUCAUAUUCAGUAACUCUACUAAAGGGUUAUAAUGAGUACCUUGGUUAAAUUUUUGGGGUCUCCAGAUACAACUAUAACUUGAGCCUCAGGAUUAAGGCUGUGAAGCUUUACCAACUGACACAUUUAAGGCAAAUAUUAAAGAAUCAAAAAAAAAAAAAAAAGAAUCUGUGUUAAUAGCGGCACAAAGCCAAUGUGUGUCUUUUUGUUAUUGUGCCCAAGAUGGCGUAUCCGAGAAACCACCUAGAAGCCAACACUGAUGCAAGCGCAUGAGGGUUUAUUUGCAAACUAGAGCUUGGGCCAAGUAUACCCGACACAGUGGAGCAGGGACUUGUACCCCGAGGGUAAGAGGCGUAGCAGUUUUAUAGGGGCCAGUGGCCAAUGGGAUUGUAACACACACAGACUUGCACAGUCAUGUCGGUCCACACGCAGGUGGCCAAUUGAAUUACAGUUUACCCUACAGUGACCAUUUGAACUAGCCUAUCACUCUGGUCAGAAUUGGCGCGCGGGAUUGGCAAGCAAAAGGCGGGGUUUACAUUCUUUGCGGUUUAGGGGUUCCGCAUUCCUAUAUGAGCCCGUUUCCAGUAAGGGUGUGCUCAGUGGCUUUACUAGGGUGGGGGGAGUGCAAUAAGUAGGUCUUGUGGGGGUCAUACAUGAGAUGGCGGAUGUAGCACAAAAUGGAGUUAGCCCUGCUCUGCUUGUCCAGGGGUAGGGGAUUUUUGUUAAAUUCCUUGGGUCCACAGUUAUCAUAUGAAAUUUUUAGUAGAUUUUGAAUUUCCAAUUGGAUCAAGUGGUGGAUCCUUAUUUUAGCUUUGCUUCAGUUCCUCACUGUCAGGUUUCUUCCUUCCUCUAGACACUCAGUAUACACUUCAGUGAUUCUCCUACAUUUCUUCUCAUCUGUAUAAAUUUCUUUCUCCAAAAAUUUUCCAGUUAGCACCCUCAGGGUUAGGAGCCUCCCUCAUGGUAUGAUGGCUUUAUAGUGCUUAAGGACCCUGGGCUUCCAAUUAGUUUGAAUCAACCCCUUCACUGUGCUACAGGCAUGCCAUAAGUGUUUUUUCCCUAUAGCCCCGACAAUAGGGAUCUUUGUUACAACAGAGGAAAAGGUAGCAGAAGGGUGCUGGACCCCUAACCCAAUGGUCAAUGGAUCAAGACCAUCCUGUGCUACAAUCCUGCUUUUUCUGCCAAUGCCAUUUUUUCUUCUCUUUUCUCUUUGUACAAAGAUUAUGUUGGGUUUCUGGCCACAUAAAGUCAUAGCUUUCAGUUUCUGUCUCUGUCCAGUCAUUCCUACUGCAACUCUUCUGGGUAGUUAUGGGAAAAGUUCAGGAACCCAGUAGCCAGGCUCAUAGGUGGGUGUCUAUUCCUCAAGAGAAGGCUAGUCAAUCUCCCACAGAAUGGAGUUCACAUCCAGUAAGGUCAUUUUGUCUAUGGUAUAUUUAUUACCUAAGCACUUAUCUCUUAAUUUCUUUCUAAGCACUGCUGUAGCUGUGCCCCACAGCAGGGCUCUUGAACAACAUGUUUGAACUGCAAAGGUCCACUUAACGCAAGGGUGGAUUUUCUCUUUUUGGACAGAUACAGUACAAUAGUAUAAAUGUGAUUUUUCUUAAUGAUUUUAUUUUCUCUAGCUCUAUUUUAACAAUACAGUAUAUAAUACUUGUAACAUACCAAAUGUGUGUUAAUCGACUAUUAGGUUAUUAGUAGUUACAUUUUGGGAAAUCCAAAUGUAUAUGUAGAUUUUUGCCUGUGUGAAGGUUUGGUGAUGAGAGGGUUAAAUUUUUCAGCCUCAUCCCUAACCUUCUAGGAGGGGAGAGGCAUCAGAGAUUGAGCUCAAUCACCAUGGCCACUGAUUCAGCCAAUCACGCCUGUGUAAUGAAACCUCCAUAAAACCCCUCAAAACAAGUUCUAGAGAGUUUCUGGUUGGUGGGCACAUGGAUGUGUUGGUAGGGUGGCACCCUGGAGGAGCCCUGGAAGUUCUGUGGCACCCACCCUCUACAGUGUCCUAUGCAUCACUUCCCUUUGGCUGUGUCUGAGGUAGAUCCUUUAUAACCAGUCAUUGUAAGUAAAGUGCAUUCCUAAGGUGAGUCGUAAUCAUACCUGAGGGGUCAGGGGAGCCCCCACAUUUGCAGUUGGCAGAAGCACAGGUAGCCUGAGCACCCCCCCCCCAUUCCUAUCUGGCAUCUGAAGUGCACAUAGUCUUGUGGGACUGAGACAUUUAACCUGUGUGGAAUGUGAUGGUAACUCCAGCUAGGCGGUGUCAUUAAAUUGAAUUUUUAGAUACCCAGUUAGUGUCAGAAUUGGUGUGGAAAACAACACAUAUUUGGUAUCCGAGGAAAAAAACCACAUUCUUCUCAUCUUACUAUUUUUAUUCUGUUUGUUCCUUCCAUUUUUCUAUUCCUGUUUUCCCUUUCCUGCUGUCUUUUCCUUUCCUGGGUUCACUGUUAGAGGCGCCACUUGCCCAGGAUGGGGAAGGGGCAGGAGGAGUGAUCUGGCUGAGGUCUCAGGCAACAGAGAUGCUGACUUCCGGUUCUCCUGUCUCCCCCAGGACCUUGGAACCCUUCCCCCCAUGGUGCCGCACAUCAGAGGCUAUUUUGUUGAGUUCCUCAGACUUUCUGACUCUGUGAGCCUCUUCGAUCUGAACAAUAGGCUUUUCUUCUCCCUGACAGGUGCUAUUAAAUUCAGUUUCUAGAAAGUACUUCUACCCCUGCCUAAACGAAUUUAACAAACAUUUUUAAGGACCUGAGCGAUAGGUGGCCAUCUCCCCGUGAUAUGCAGGGAGUGUUAAGUCCGCAGAGACCUGCUCCCAGCACCACUGAAGACAGACGACCCUGCUGUGAGUCCUGUUGGUCUUUGUUGGUGCCACCAAUUCUUCUACCUACUGCUCACUUAUACAAAAGAUCUCUAUCUUAAAGGGUUAAUAGAAAAAGAAACUGAGGGACACCUGGGUGGCUCAGUCAGUUAAGUGCCCUCCUCUUGAUUUUGGCUCAGGUCAUGACCUCAGGGUCGUGAGAUCAGAUCUUAUGUUAGUUAGGCACCGAGCUGGGUGUGGUGCCUGCUUGGGAUUCUCUGCCUCUCCCUCUCCCUCUGCCCUUCACCCUCUGGUCAUGCUGUCUCUCUCAAAAAAAUAAAAAAUAAAUAAAAUAAAGAUUUUUUUAAAAAGAUCAAAACAAACUGAGGGCAGACCCCUCCUAUUUGGAUUGGUGGAGUUAUUUUAAGUUUCAUUCCAAUCUCCUGAUAGUGACCAACCCCUGCGUUUUAUGGAAUAUAGGCUAUUUAUGGGAGUUGUGAAGUAGGCCACUGUGUAGACAGGCCUCAGCUCCUGUGACAUCAUGGAAUAGCAUGAACUUUGAACCAGGUUUUGGAUGCUGUCACUUACCACCUUCGUGCCAGGAGCAUCUUGAGGUCAGCACAUUCCCCUAAAGGGACUGCAUAGAUCCAGAGCAGCAGGGAACUGCACAGAACAGGAUGCAGAAGAAACCAGAAGUAGAACCAUGAAAAGACGGGACAAUCCGGUGAAAACGAUGGACAUGUAUUUAGCCACCCAGGAUCAGGGUGAUGUCCAGAGUAAAAGAGUCUGUGGCUAGGAGUACGCAGUGGACUUGGUGGAUAAGAGGUUUACGUGUGCAUUGCAGGUCAUUGUUACCUGAACUAGGAUAGUCUGUGACCUGGCUUGUGAAUUCAGUCAUUUGAGAAGUAGUUCAAGUGAUCUUAUAAAACCAACUUGAAGAAUCAGUUCCCCUCACUUUUAUGAGGAGAAGACAAUAACAAGUGGCUCUCAGAAAACAGCUGGAAAAAAAAAAAAAGAAAAGAUAACAGCUGGAGCCUGGAUACACACUGCCAUCGUGCCCCGACAAAGCUGAACAGAGUGUCUGCUACUUUGGCACCCCAGUCCUGCAUGAGACCCCCAGGACACCACAACAUUCUAUGAUGGGAUCAGGGUCUUCAAGGUCCACACCAUCCCUAUUCCUCUUGCACCUGAACUCUUCUGGUCCCAAGCUUCUCAGAAGGCUUCCCUUCAAAGUCACCGGGGGAAUGGUCCCCUGAGUCCACACAAAGCACUACUGGAAUGCCAGGCGCUGCAGCCUCUCAGGCGGGGAGCCUGCUUCUCCCUCUCCCUCCCGUCUCCUCUACCCCCCACUCCUGUGUGCAGAUACUCUCCCUCUCAAAUAAAUAAGAUCUUAAAAAAAAAGAAAAAAGACUGGAGGACUCUAUUUCAGGGUGGUCUUGGGAGUUAGCCUUUUGAGUUCUCAAACAUAUUUAAUGGGAAUAUGGGAGGGGAACAGUCGAUGAGCAUUAAGCACAAACUCAGUAUCCAUUGCUGUUCCCCAAAAUUAGUACCAUAAUAACUUGUAAGUUAUUUUAACAACCAAGAAGGAUCACAGUUCUCAAUCUACAUAUCUCAGUCCUUCUUUGUUGCAGGGAGGAGAUCAUUGGGCCACAACAGGUUAGAGUUAGAUAUAAGCAGAUGCCCAUAUCUUUAGGUCCAGAACACCAACUAGGGACCCAGAGCCUUAGGGGUCCUUGAACCUGAAGAAAGGAAUAAGAGAAACUGGGAGGCUCCGUGGUUUCUGCUUAUACCAGAAGCUGUGGCUCAGGGUGCAAGUGAGUGUGGCAAGUCGAUCCCAGGGCUUUGGAGGGCAGCUGAGAGAGCAGACACACAGAUCACUGGGCUGGGCCAGGUUCCACCUGCUCUGGGGUCUGAGUCCGAGGGGGCCGACCCAUCUCUGAGGACUGUCCCUAAACUCAGUUCAGUGACAGGGCAACUAUUUCCUGUUGAGGGAAAGAAGCUUAAGUUGACUUGCAUCUAACUUGGGUUUACAACCUCCAGAUGACAUUAAUUCAUUCAAGCAUAUAUUGAGUUCCUGCUAUGUGUCCAGCUCUGUUCUAGAAGUUAGGGAUAUGGCAGUGAACAAACAUCAGAGAACCUGCCAUUCUAAUGGAGGAAGGCAGACAAUCUAGGAGGAAGUAAGAUAAUUUUAGGUAGUGAUAACUGCUACCAGAAAACAAAACACAUAAUAGGGGAGAGAUUUGGGGAGGAAGAACUCUGGUUAGGGAGAUUCCCUAACUCUGGUUAGGGAAGUGAUUUCCAAUGGACCACCUGUGAGCAAGAAUUUGUUCUCAUUGCUAGGACAAUAAGGGGAUAGAAUAGCCCCUUCUAGGAGAGGUAUGUCUCUAAUUAUAUAUACACAAUUGAUAAUAUGAUUUAAAGAUUACUUAUUUGGUUAGUUUGGUUCAUUUUAAUAAUUUCCAAGAGCCUCAGUAAUUUUCCAUAGACUGACUAAGUUGAAUUUCUGGACUGCAAGUGUUGAAAGUCAGACUCCAGAAUGGAGUACCCAUCCCAAAGUGCUGCCGAUGGACUCCUGACCAGAACAUUGUCCAGCAACUAGGAUGGCCCUAUUACCUAUUACAACAUCAUCCUGACCCACAAUUUCACAAAUGGCUUCUGGCUGAAUGUAUGCCUGCUUACAAUUUAUCACAAAAAGAGCCUCGUGUGCACUUCCAGCCAUUCCCCCAAUCCCUGAAGCCGAAGGGAACAAUGUCCACAAUAGCCAAACUGUGGCAGGAGCCUCGGUGUCCAUCGACAGACGAAUGGA